rnacentral:rRNA from 1 species
ACGAACGCUGGCGGCGUGCUUAACACAUGCAAGUCGAACGGAAAGGCCCUUCGGGGUACUCGAGUGGCGAACGGGUGAGUAACACGUGGGUGAUCUGCCCUGCACUUUGGGAUAAGCCUGGGAAACUGGGUCUAAUACCGAAUAGGACCACGCGCUUCAUGGUGUGUGGUGGAAAGCUUUUGCGGUGUGGGAUGGGCCCGCGGCCUAUCAGCUUGUUGGUGGGGUAAUGGCCUACCAAGGCGACGACGGGUAGCCGGCCUGAGAGGGUGACCGGCCACACUGGGACUGAGAUACGGCCCAGACUCCUACGGGAGGCAGCAGUGGGGAAUAUUGCACAAUGGGCGCAAGCCUGAUGCAGCGACGCCGCGUGAGGGAUGACGGCCUUCGGGUUGUAAACCUCUUUCACCAGGGACGAAGCGUAAGUGACGGUACCUGGAGAAGAAGCACCGGCCAACUACGUG